rnacentral:rRNA from 1 species
CAAUAGCGUAUAUUAAAGUUGUUGCAGUUAAAAAGCUCGUAGUGUAAUUAGAGUGCCGGAGCGUCGGGUCCGACUUUAACUAGUUGUGCACUCAUUUCGCGUCCGGCCUUUCUCGCGGCGAACGUGCCUGGCAUUAGGUUGUCGGGUUCGGGAGCCGCGUCGUUUACUGUGAAAAAUUAGAGUGUUCAUAGCAGGCUUACGCCGUUGAAUACAUUAGCAUGGAAUAAUAAGAUAGGACUUUGGUGAUCUAUUUUGUUGGUUGCACACAAGGUAAUGAUUAAUAGGGACAGGUUGGGGGUAUUCGUAUUCAAUUGUCAGAGGUAGAAAUUUCUUGGUAUUUAGUGGAAGACGAAACUACUGACGAAAGCUAUUUACCAAGGAUUG